rnacentral:lncRNA from 1 species
CCGUCAAUGCAACUGUAUAUCUGCAACUCAGUAUUUGUGCUUCAGUUCCUGAGAACAAUAAAACGGCUGACAACAAUUAAACGCAAUCGAUGUGGAAAUUACUGUAAACCAGUCGGCCGCACUUGAAUGAAGUGAGAUCAUCAGUUCAGUUCAAUCAACAAUGUUCUUGUCGCUGAUCCUGAUUGCUGCCAGUUUUUGUGGAACAUUUGCGCAUCUGGAGGGACCAAACGUGUGCAUCAGGCAGGAAACGUGAGUCAACUAAGCUAGCUAGUAGUUCAUCGGCCAUCGCUCAGAUAGCUUGGAUUGUUCAGGAAUUGUUUCUGUUUUUUUUUACUUUUUUACUGUUAUCUUAAGUUGGGUUGAAUAUUAUUUGUUACUCGAGUUUUUGAGUGAGUCAUUCGUAAAUAUUUUGCCAUUUGCUGUUUGCAAUGGGCUCACUCAGCUCUUAUUUACAUUUUGGAAGUGAGACAUUUUAACUAAGAGGCAGUUUGUCUCUUAAUUAUCCUCAUAUUUGCUAGCUGCCAUUGUUUUUUCCAAAAAAAUCACAUGAAAGUAACCAUUUGAUGCCACGUUUAACGCGUAAAUCCGCUCCAAGGAACUUGUCCCAGUCCGCCUUGUAAGUGGAGUAUUCCAUGCAGGAAAAGGAAGUGAGACUAAGCGCCAAAUGCGACCUUGUGCAUGAGUAUGACUUUUAAUCUGGUCGCAUUGAUUCAAGUACAAUGGAUUUGCGAUGAUUCAAUGCAAAAACUUUAAGACAACAACGAAGGAUGAACCAUAAUAUGAUGUAUUACAUCUUCAUUCCUUUGCUUCUUAUUGGCCGCAGAUGCGUCUUUAUAGUUUAAUAUAUUGUGAGGCCACUCGCGUAAUGAGAGUACCUGAUGAGAGUAAUGAGAGGGAGAUCACAACCUGUGAAAAAUACUUCUGUCGGGCGGUACAAAUUACUGCUACGUUUACAAUAUCCAUAAUUUACAGGGUGAUUUACAACAUUAUGGACACAGAGUAGGGGCGUGUAGAGGACCUCAAAACAAAUCGAGUUUCC